rnacentral:rRNA from 1 species
UAAACGACUCUCGGCAACGGAUAUCUCGGCUCACGCAUCGAUGAAGAACGUAGCAAAAUGCGAUACUUGGUGUGAAUUGCAGAAUCCCGUGAACCAUCGAGUUUUUGAACGCAAGUUGCGCCCGAAGCCAUUCGGUUGAGGGCACGUCUGCCUGGGCGUCACG